GCCUCGAUGGCGCAACAGGAGACGCACCGGCUUCAAACCCCGGCCGCCGGCGACGGCACAUGAGGGUUCGACUCCCUCUCGAGGCACCG
rnacentral:tRNA from 1 species